rnacentral:ncRNA from 1 species
AAAAGUAGAGGUCGCACGAUCGAUCAGUAAUCCUGACGAUGUCCGUAUACAAGAGAAUCAGGGUGAAAGGCGGUAGUGCCGAAGUACAUUUCAGGUACGGCUGACAUGUGCUGGGCGCAAGUUAAAAAGGCUUGUGACUGUCAUCGGGUGAUGGAGAGCUACUUG